rnacentral:rRNA from 1 species
GGUUAAGCGACUAAGCGUACACGGUGGAUGCCCUGGCAGUCAGAGGCGAUGAAGGACGUGCUAAUCUGCGAUAAGCGUCGGUGAGGUGAUAUGAACCGUUAUAACCGGCGAUUUCCGAAUGGGGAAACCCAGUGUGUUUCGACACACUAUCAUUAACUGAAUCCAUAGGUUAAUGAGGCGAACCGGGGGAACUGAAACAUCUAAGUACCCCGAGGAAAAGAAAUCAACCGAGAUUCCCCCAGUAGCGGCGAGCGAACGGGGAGGAGCCCAGAGCCUGAAUCAGUGUGUGUGUUAGUGGAAGCGUCUGGAAAGGCGCGCGAUACAGGGUGACAGCCCCGUACACAAAAAUGCACAUAUUGUGAGCUCGAUGAGUAGGGCGGGACACGUGGUAUCCUGUCUGAAUAUGGGGGGACCAUCCUCCAAGGCUAAAUACUCCUGACUGACCGAUAGUGAACCAGUACCGUGAGGGAAAGGCGAAAAGAACCCCGGCGAGGGGAGUGAAAAAGAACCUGAAACCGUGUACGUACAAGCAGUGGGAGCCUCUUAAUGGGGUGACUGCGUACCUUUUGUAUAAUGGGUCAGCGACUUAUAUUCUGUAGCAAGGUUAACCGAAUAGGGGAGCCGAAGGGAAACCGAGUCUUAACUGGGCGUUAAGUUGCAGGGUAUAGACCCGAAACCCGGUGAUCUAGCCAUGGGCAGGUUGAAGGUUGGGUAACACUAACUGGAGGACCGAACCGACUAAUGUUGAAAAAUUAGCGGAUGACUUGUGGCUGGGGGGUAGAGCACUGUUUCGGCAAGGGGGUCAUCCCGACUUACCAACCCGAUGCAAACUGCGAAUACCGGAGAAUGUUAUCACGGGAGACACACGGCGGGUGCUAACGUCCGUCGUGAAGAGGGAAACAACCCAGACCGCCAGCUAAGGUCCCAAAGUCAUGGUUAAGUGGGAAACGAUGUGGGAAGGCCCAGACAGCCAGGAUGUUGGCUUAGAAGCAGCCAUCAUUUAAAGAAAGCGUAAUAGCUCACUGGUCGAGUCGGCCUGCGCGGAAGAUGUAACGGGGCUAAACCAUGCACCGAAGCUGCGGCAGCGACACUAUGUGUUGUUGGGUAGGGGAGCGUUCUGUAAGCCUGUGAAGGUGGCCUGUGAGGGUUGCUGGAGGUAUCAGAAGUGCGAAUGCUGACAUAAGUAACGAUAAAGCGGGUGAAAAGCCCGCUCGCCGGAAGACCAAGGGUUCCUGUCCAACGUUAAUCGGGGCAGGGUGAGUCGACCCCUAAGGCGAGGCCGAAAGGCGUAGUCGAUGGGAAACAGGUUAAUAUUCCUGUACUUGGUGUUACUGCGAAGGGGGGACGGAGAAGGCUAUGUUGGCCGGGCGACGGUUGUCCCGGUUUAAGCGUGUAGGCUGGUUUUCCAGGCAAAUCCGGAAAACCAAGGCUGAGGCGUGAUGACGAGGCACUACGGUGCUGAAGCGACAAAUGCCCUGCUUCCAGGAAAAGCCUCUAAGCAUCAGGUAACAUCAAAUCGUACCCCAAACCGACACAGGUGGUCAGGUAGAGAAUACCAAGGCGCUUGAGAGAACUCGGGUGAAGGAACUAGGCAAAAUGGUGCCGUAACUUCGGGAGAAGGCACGCUGAUAUGUAGGUGAAGCGACUUGCUCGUGGAGCUGAAAUCAGUCGAAGAUACCAGCUGGCUGCAACUGUUUAUUAAAAACACAGCACUGUGCAAACACGAAAGUGGACGUAUACGGUGUGACGCCUGCCCGGUGCCGGAAGGUUAAUUGAUGGGGUUAGCGGUAACGCGAAGCUCUUGAUCGAAGCCCCGGUAAACGGCGGCCGUAACUAUAACGGUCCUAAGGUAGCGAAAUUCCUUGUCGGGUAAGUUCCGACCUGCACGAAUGGCGUAAUGAUGGCCAGGCUGUCUCCACCCGAGACUCAGUGAAAUUGAACUCGCUGUGAAGAUGCAGUGUACCCGCGGCAAGACGGAAAGACCCCGUGAACCUUUACUAUAGCUUGACACUGAACAUUGAGCCUUGAUGUGUAGGAUAGGUGGGAGGCUUUGAAGUGUGGACGCCAGUCUGCAUGGAGCCGACCUUGAAAUACCACCCUUUAAUGUUUGAUGUUCUAACGUGGGCCCCUAAUCGGGGUUGCGGACAGUGUCUGGUGGGUAGUUUGACUGGGGCGGUCUCCUCCUAAAGAGUAACGGAGGAGCACGAAGGUUGGCUAAUCCUGGUCGGACAUCAGGAGGUUAGUGCAAUGGCAUAAGCCAGCUUGACUGCGAGCGUGACGGCGCGAGCAGGUGCGAAAGCAGGUCAUAGUGAUCCGGUGGUUCUGAAUGGAAGGGCCAUCGCUCAACGGAUAAAAGGUACUCCGGGGAUAACAGGCUGAUACCGCCCAAGAGUUCAUAUCGACGGCGGUGUUUGGCACCUCGAUGUCGGCUCAUCACAUCCUGGGGCUGAAGUAGGUCCCAAGGGUAUGGCUGUUCGCCAUUUAAAGUGGUACGCGAGCUGGGUUUAGAACGUCGUGAGACAGUUCGGUCCCUAUCUGCCGUGGGCGCUGGAGAACUGAGGGGGCUGCUCCUAGUACGAGAGGACCGGAGUGGACGCAUCACUGGUGUUCGGGUUGUCAUGCCAAUGGCACUGCCCGGUAGCUAAAUGCGGAAGAGAUAAGUGCUGAAAGCAUCUAAGCACGAAACUUGCCCCGAGAUGAGUUCUCCCUGAGACUUAGAGUCUCCUGAAGGAACGUUGAAGACGACGACGUUGAUAGGCCGGGUGUGUAAGCGCAGCGAUGCGUUGAGCUAACCGGUACUAAUGAACCGUGAGGCUUAACCUU